AGGAUAGAGGCCUACCAUGGUGGUAACGGGUAACGGGGUGUUAGGGCACGACACCGGAGAGGGAGCCUGAGAAACGGCUACCACAUCCAAGGAUGGCAGCAGGCGCGCAAAUUACCCAAUCCCGACACGGGGAGGUAGUGACAAUAAAUAACAAUACGGGGUUCUUUCGGAUCUCGUAAUUGGAAUGAGUACAAUUUAAAUCUCUUAACGAGGAACAAUUGGAGGGCAAGUCUGGUGCCAGCAGCCGCGGUAAUUCCAGCUCCAAUAGCGUAUAUUAAAGUUGUUGCAGUUAAAAAGCUCGUAGUUGAAUUUCGGGGUUAGUAGGUUGGUCAUGCCUCUGGUAUGUACUGGUCUCACUGAUUCCUCCUUCCUGAUGAACCGUAAUGCCAUUAAUUUGGUGUUGCGGGGAAUUUGGACUGUUACUUUGAAAAAAUUAGAGUGUUUAAAGCAAGCUAACGCUUGAAUACAUUAGCAUGGAAUAAUGAAAUAGGACGUUCGAUCCUAUUUUGUUGGUUUCUAGGGUUGACGUAAUGAUUAAUAGGGAUAGUUGGGGGCAUUAGUAUUCAAUUGUCAGAGGUGAAAUUCUUGGAUUUAUUGGAGACUAACUACUGCGAAAGCAUUUGCCAAGGAUGUUUUCAUUAAUCAAGAACGAAAGUUAGGGGAUCGAAGACGAUCAGAUACCGUCGUAGUCUUAACCAUAAACUAUGCCGACUAGGGAUCGGA
rnacentral:rRNA from 1 species